rnacentral:rRNA from 1 species
GAUCAUGCUCAGGAUGAACGCUGGCGGCGUGCUUAACACAUGCAAGUCGAGCGAAGCACUUUGCUUUGAUUUCUUCGGGAUGAAGAGCUUGGUGACUGAGCGGCGGACGGGUGAGUAACGCGUGGGUAACCUGCCUCAUACAGGGGGAUAACAGUUAGAAAUGACUGCUAAUACCGCAUAAGGCCACAGCACCGCAUGGUGCAGGGGUAAAAACUCCGGU